CGGGACAAAGCUUUGUGAGAGUUUGGAAGUCUCCUCUUAUAUUUGAUGGCUAUCACUUUCUUCCGGGCUCUGAUGAAAUUGAAAUGUACCUUGCCACUAUUUCAAGGGCUUCUCUCUCUUUGGAAAUUAAGGUAUUUGGUUGUCCUCUGAAGUCAUCUCUCCAACGUGCUCAAGAUAAGUAGUUAUAAGGGUCCUUAAAAGUGGAAGCUGGAGAUAGAAGAGUCAGUGUCAGAGUGAGGCAACAUGAAAAAGAUUUGACUGGCUAUCGCUGGCAUUGAAGAGGGAAGGUGGACACCUGCCAAGGAAUGCAGGCAUCCUCUAGAAGCUGGAAAAGGCCAUGUGAAGACAGAGCAAGAAGGCAGCCAUCUGCAAGCCAGGAAGAGAGCUCUCAAAUCACCUGAUCUUGGAUUUCAUAGCCUCCAGAACGGACGUCAAGAUCUGUUAUUCAUUUUCCUGAUGCUAAGUAUAAUUCUGAUAUGGAUAUUAAUUCUGCUAUUAUUUUUCCUGUUUGAUUUUUCAUGAUCAAACACCCACCUCAUCAUCUAGACAUAAAAACAAAUCUCCACGUAUAUCCAGUAGGAUACCGAAAAAGAAAAGACAGUCAAAUGGGGCAGAAAAAUGCUUGCUGUAAUCAUA
rnacentral:lncRNA from 1 species